rnacentral:rRNA from 1 species
UUUGWWGAACCCAUAUGGGAUUAGCUAGUUGGUGGGGUAAGGGCUCACCAAGGCGACGAUCUCUAGCUGGUCUGAGAGGAUGACCAGCCACACUGGAACUGAGACACGGUCCAGACUCCUACGGGAGGCAGCAGUGGGGAAUAUUGCACAAUGGGGGGAACCCUGAUGCAGCCAUGCCGCGUGUAUGAAGAAGGCCUUCGGGUUGUAAAGUACUUUCGGUGAUGAGGAAGGAGAUGUAUCUAAUAGGUACAUUAAUUGACGUUAAUUACAGAAGAAGCACCGGCUAACUCCGUGCCAGCAGCCGCGGUAAUACGGAGGGUGCGAGCGUUAAUCGGAAUGACUGGGCGUAAAGGGCAUGUAGGCGGAUAAUUAAGUUAGGUGUGAAAGCCCUGGGCUCAACCUAGGAAUUGCACUUAAAACUGGUUAACUAGAGUAUUGUAGAGGAAGGUAGAAUUCCACGUGUAGCGGUGAAAUGCGUAGAGAUGUGGAGGAAUACCGGUGGCGAAGGCGGCCUUCUGGACAGAUACUGACGCUGAGAUGCGAAAGCGUGGGGAGCAAACAGGAUUAGAUACCCUGGUAGUCCACGCUGUAAACGAUGUCGAUUUGGAGUUUGUUGCCUAGAGUGAUGGGCUCCGAAGCUAACGCGAUAAAUCGACCGCCUGGGGAGUACGGCCGCAAGGUUAAAACUCAAAUGAAUUGACGGGGGCCCGCACAAGCGGUGGAGCAUGUGGUUUAAUUCGAUGCAACGCGAAGAACCUUACCUGGUCUUGACAUCCACAGAAUCUUGUAGAGAUACGAGAGUGCCUUCGGGAACUGUGAGACAGGUGCUGCAUGGCUGUCGUCAGCUCGUGUUGUGAAAUGUUGGGUUAAGUCCCGCAACGAGCGCAACCCUUAUCCUUUGUUGCCAUCGAUUCGGUCGGGAACUCAAAGGAGACUGCCGUUGAUAAAGCGGAGGAAGGYGGGGACGACGUCAAGUCAUCAUGGCCCUUACGACCAGGGCUACACACGUGCUACAAUGGCGUAUACAAAGGGAGGCGACCUCGCGAGAGUAAGCGGACCUCACAAAGUACGUCUAAGUCCGGAUUGGAGUCUGCAACUCGACUCCAUGAAGUCGGAAUCGCUAGUAAUCGUGAAUCAGAAUGUCACGGUGAAUACGUUCCCGGGCCUUGUACACACCGCCCGUCACACCAUGGGAGUGGGU